rnacentral:rRNA from 1 species
GUGGGGAAUAUUGGACAAUGGGCGAAAGCCUGAUCCAGCAAUGCCGCGUGAGUGAAGAAGGCCUUAGGGUUGUAAAACUCUUUCGCCGGUGAAGAUGAUGACUGUAGCCGGUAAAGAAGCCCCGGCUAACUCCGUGCCAGCAGCCGCGGUAAUACGGAGGGGGCUAGCGUUGUUCGGAUUUACUGGGCGUAAAGCGCGCGUAGGCGGUAUAUCAAGUUAGGCGUGAAAGCCCCGGGCUCAACCCGGGAACUGCGCUUAUUACUGAUAAACUAGAGUCCGGGAGAGGGUGGCGGAAUUCCCAGUGUAGAGGUGAAAUUCGUAGAUAUUGGGAAGAACACCAGUUGCGAAGGCGGCCACCUGGACCGGUACUGACGCUGAGGUGCGAAAGCGUGGGGAGCAAACAGG